rnacentral:lncRNA from 1 species
AUAUUCACGGCCGACACUCGGCUAACCGAGAGAUUGGUCGGUUAAUCUAUAUUGAGUAUGCGGCUAUAUGGGCGAUUGGUCUGUUAAUCGGGUUGGUUAUACGUCUGUUAAGAGUAAAACGCACAAUUUUAUGUUAAACUCUAUCAAAUAUACAGAUUUUUGGCAUAUUAUAAGAACCAAAUCAAAAAAAAGAAAGUGUCUGACAAAAUGAUAUCUAUCAUAGAAUAUUUUCCACCUGUAAAAACAUUUCAUAGUCUGCGCAGUUUUCAGUAAAACUAAAAGGCGUCACGCAAG